UACGUAGGGGGCUAGCGUUGUCCGGAAUCAUUGGGCGUAAAGAGCGUGUAGGCGGCCCGGUAAGUCCGCUGUAAAAAGUCAAAGGCUCAACCUUUGAAUGUCAGUGGAUACUGCCGGGCUAGAGUCCGGAAGAGGCGAGUGGAACUCCUGGUGUAGCGGUGGAAUGCGCAGAUAUCAGGAAGAACACCAACGGCGAAGGCAGCUCGCUGGGACGGUACUGACGCUGAGACGCGAAAAGCGUGGGGGAGCGAACAGG
rnacentral:rRNA from 1 species